AUGUUUAUUUACACAGAAAAUGACUAUAUAUGGCAUGCACCUCUUAAAAAAAAGGCGGACAGCUUCGUUGAUGGAUUAUGUUUCAAAGAAUCUAAUUCUACUAAAUUAACUCAUAAUGCUUUCAAAAUUAUUAUAGUUUAUGUGCAAAAACUGUGAUGCUGAAACGUUCCCGCUGGAAAGGAGAAAUAACGAAAAUAAUAAUCGUCCUAAAUGUCAA